rnacentral:lncRNA from 1 species
UUUUGGGGCAGCUAUGGGGUACCUAUGGAGUACAUACGGGGCAGUUAUGGGGCAGCUAUGGGGCAGCUAUGGGGGUAUCUGUGGGGCAGCUAUGGGAUAUCUAUGGGGCAGCUAAGGGACAGCUCUGGGGUAUCUGUGGGGCGCUAUGGGGCAGCUGUGGGGCAGCCAUGGGGCAGCCAUGGGGCAGCCAUGGGGGUAUCUAUGGGGCACCAAUGGAGCAUCUAUGGGGCAGCUAUGGGGCAGCUAUAGAGGUAUUUAUGGGGUAUGUGUGGGGCGCUAUGGGGCAGCUGUGGGGCAGCUGUGGGGCAGCUGUGGGGCAGCUCACGUGUCGUCGAUGACGUGCUGGCAGCUGGAGGCGAUGAGGAACCCUGAGAGCGACGCCAGCACCGCCUGCACUGCCGACACCAGCCUGCAGGGGGCAGCACGGCGUGGGGCGGGGGGAAAUGGGGGGCUG